CAGACGGUUUCACUGUUGAAUUCUCUUUCGUGUAAACAACGGACUGAUCCAUAGAAAUUUUGCAGAGCUGUUUUAUCGAAGCCGCAAAACGAUUAUAAUUCAGGUAUCGAGGGUCCAUCGUUUCCAGGCUUGACUUGAAUAUCAGUGUGAAUUUGAUCCCUAAAUGAAGCCGCAAAUCCACUCAGAAAGCUUAUCUUCUCGAUUAACUCCUCUUCCAGUUCCUUCAUCUCCUUCACCCAUUUCAAAGCAUUUGCCAAUCCCUGAGAACAUCAUGAACAAUUUUCACUUGUCAGAAAAUUUUUUACUGAGAAAAUAAUCUUUUCUGAGUAUAUUCUGCCGUUGUUGCCCAAUCAAUUCUCACUUCAUGCCAGCAAGCACACCAGCACAGGAAUAUAGUUAUGGUUACGGGAAAGACUUUUUUGUUGAGAAGUAGCAAGCUUAGACUAAGAAAAUGCCUACUGUGGGAUGGAAGGUGAUUAUACUUCUGGCCCCCUCGUAGCAAGCUCCGCAUAUUGUAUUUCUUGGAGGCCUUAGAAUAUAUGGCAUCGCGCUGCAGAUAGAACAGUCCAUCUUUCUUUGCACAG